GCCUCUUUAGCUCAGCUGGUAGAGCAACUGACUUGUAAUCAGUAGGUCGCUGGUUCGAUCCCGGCAAGAGGCU
rnacentral:tRNA from 3 species